rnacentral:rRNA from 1 species
UCUCAGUUCGGAUCGGAGUCUGNAACCCGACUCCGUGAAGCUGGAUUCGCUAGUAAUCGCGCAUCAGCCAUGGCGCGGUGAAUACGUUCCCGGGCCUUGUACACACCGCCCGUCAAGCCAUGGAAGCCGGGGGCGCUUGAAGUGCGUUGCCGCAAGGCGCGCCCUAGAGCGAAACCGGUGACUGGGCUAAGUCGUAACAAGGUAAC